GACGAACGCUGGCGGCGUGCUUAACACAUGCAAGUCGAACGGAAAGGCCCUGCUUGCAGGGUACUCGAGUGGCGAACGGGUGAGUAACACGUGGGUGAUCUGCCCUGCACUUCGGGAUAAGCCUGGGAAACUGGGUCUAAUACCGGAUAGGAGCCAUUUUUAGUGUGAUGGUUGGAAAGUUUUUUCGGUGUAGGAUGAGCUCGCGGCCUAUCAGCUUGUUGGUGGGGUAAUGGCCUACCAAGGCGGCGACGGGCAGCCGGCCUGAGAGGGUGGACGGCCACAUUGGGACUGAGAUACGGCCCAGACUCCUACGGGAGGCAGCAGUGGGGAAUAUUGCACAAUGGGCGCAAGCCUGAUGCAGCGACGCCGCGUGGGGGAGGACGGCCUUCGGGUUGUAAACUCCUUUCGCUAGGGACGAAGCUUUUUGUGACGGUACCUAGAGAAGAAGCACCGGCUAACUACGUG
rnacentral:rRNA from 1 species